rnacentral:rRNA from 1 species
AAGUCGUAACAAGGUUUCCGUAGGUGAACCUGCGGAAGGAUCAUUACAGAGUUCAUGCCCUUCGGGGUAGACCUCCCACCCUUGAAUACAUACCUUUGUUGCUUUGGCGGGCCGCUUCGGCUACUGGCUUCGGCUGGUGAGUGCCCGCCAGAGGACCCAAAACUCUGAAUUAUAGUGUCGUCUGAGUACUAUAUAAUAGUUAAAACUUUCAACAACGGAUCUCUUGGUUCUGGCAUCGAUGAAGAACGCAGCGAAAUGCGAUAAGUAAUGUGAAUUGCAGAAUUCAGUGAAUCAUCGAAUCUUUGAACGCACAUUGCGCCCCUUGGUAUUCCGGGGGGCAUGCCUGUUCGAGCGUCAUUAUAAACCCCUCAAGCUCAGCUUGAUGUUGGGGCCUGCCGUCUGGCAGCCCUUAAAAUCAGUGGCGGUGCCAUCUGGCUCUAAGCGUAGUAAUUUUUCUCGCUAUAGAGUUCCGGUGGAUGCUUGCCAUCAACCCCCAAUUUUCUAUGGUUGACCUCGGAUCAGGUAGGGAUACCCGCUGAACUUAA